GGACUACCGGGGUUUCUAAUCCUUUUUGCUCCCCAUACUUUCGAGCCUGAGCGUCGGAUCUCGUCCAGCCGGCUGCCUUCGCCGUUGGUGUUCCUCUUGAUAUCUACGCAUUUCACUGCUCCACCAAGAAUUCCACCGGCCCCUCCGAGUCCCUAGAAUCGCAGUUUCAGACGCAGUCCGGGAGUUGAGCCCCCGGGUUUCACAUCCGACACACGAUUCCGCCUGCGCUCCCUUUACGCCCAGUGAAUCCGAGUAACGCUUGCAGUCUCUGUAUUACCGCGGCUGCUGGCAC
rnacentral:rRNA from 1 species